rnacentral:ncRNA from 12 species
UGUCUCCUCCACCCUCCUCCUUUGGUGUGGAUUUAGCGCGAUUCCAACGAAUCGCGCUUUUUUUU